GAUGUCACUAUGUUGUGGCAACACCCACUGUCCUUGGGAAGUUUAUUCAGUGCCUUCACCAUUUUCUGAUGAACAUGAUGGCAUACUGAAGUGUCUUAUUCAGAAAGAGAAUGGAGAGGUUAGAGAAACCAGAGAGUGACAGAAGAAAGCUGACCUUCAGCCACAAUGUAAAACGUCAAGAAAGAAAUGGUCAAGAGAAUCAUGUAAUGAGUUCUGUGCAAGAAAAGGGAAUCUUCCUGGAGGAAGUGGGCUUGUGCUGAAUCUUCCAGUAAUGGGGAACAGAAAGCUGGAGUCUCUGGGAACCAACAGAACUUCCUGCUUUUCAUGCCUCUUGAAAUUCAAGGAUUCCAGGAUAUUAAUUGUUCUGGCUCAGAAGCCGGGAACUGGCUUGUGGACUCUGCAGCCAAGUUGAAUUCUGAGUCUGCAGCUGUGAAUGAGCCUGAAGAGGCUAUCUGCUUGGUUACUUGGAGCAUGUGCUAUGAGGGCAGAGAAAACCAGAUAGCUGGGAUAACCACUUUCCUUCAAAUCGAGGAGAGAGCUGAGAUCCCCAGAGGGGGCAUCUGAAGCACAGGACAAAAUAAUUUGUGGUGUCACCGAGUCACUGAUGAACAUAAAGGAGCACCAGAGAGCUACCAUCCCACCAAACCUUCCUCACCAAGAUGCAGAUGAAGCAGAAGGUGCAGCCUGACCAGUCAGCUACAGAAAAUGACCAUUGAAAGAAAGUAACAGUGAGAUUGCCUGAUCUUUAUCACAGAAGAGAGCAUGAAGAAUAGGUGUUUGUGCAUGUAUCACCCUCUAAUCCCUGCAAUCGGGAUCUGUGGUUGUGCAUGAGCACUUCCCUGUCUCACAAUUCCCAUGUGAUUCCUUGGUGAAAAUUGGGAGCACCACUGUAUUAUCAUUGAGAAUUUCUUUUUGAAGACAGGACAAACAUUGUCACAGACUCUGAAGGGUACACACUUGUGGAGAAGACACCAGGGAAAUUCUUAGACAGCUAUUUUAGCAAGCCUGCUGAGAGAGCUCAUGCAGCUCCACCUCCCAUCAUCUAAACAGCCUGCCUCUACCAGUGUAGGGUCAGAAUAGGUGUUCUUGGAUUUCUGUUGUUGUUGGAGUUUUCAGAAAUAGUAUGAUUCUUUCCGGAAUUCCCUUUUCUCUACCAUUGGCCAGGAGGAAACGGUCAGAGACCCUCAGACACAAAAAAAGCAGGAUACAUUUAUAGGAUUCAUUGCAUCUUUGUCUUUAGCUACCUUAAAUCCACCAAAGAUGAAUACAUUCUGAAUGAAAAUCCAAGAUUCUAGCAAUAUCUGAAGUCUCAGAGAUAAUGGGGUCCCCUGGAAAGCUAAGCAUGGCAGCUGUGCACUAGGAAGUAUUUCAAAGGCAUAUGGACUCAAACAAGAGCCUAGAGAUUGGCUUAGAUAAUAAAGAAUCAGAAGGCAAUCUGGUGUCAGGAAAAUCCUUAAAAAAGCAGAACAAGAGGAUAAUCCUGAAAAGAACCUGGAAGCUACCUCCUGCUGAUGCUCCUGAUUGCUAACACUUCCAGAGUCCCUCAUCAGCUAAGACCACCAAGCUGGGCUUCAGGACAUUAGCAGUUUCACUACUGGGUGAGCAGAGUUCAAAGGACUCAGAGAGAAAAAAUCCUCCCAGGUGAGUCCUUCCACACUAUGAU